AAAAAGAUAAGCUAAACCAAGCUUUCAGGUUCAUACCCUGAAUAUAGGAUUAAUUAUCCUUCUUUUUA
rnacentral:tRNA from 1 species